rnacentral:lncRNA from 1 species
AUGCCCUCAGCAGGGCUGAGCCGUUUGCGGGAGGGCGUGCUGAUUUCUUGGUGGGAAUCCAGGGAACGAUCUCAUCCUAGGAAGGAAGCCAGAAAUCACCAUCUCCACCAGGCAAAUCGCGGUGUCGGCUGCACGGACGGCCCCGUGCUCUCCGCAGAUGGUCUCUGGUCCCUCUCCACCCCUCGGUCCCACCUCCGCAUUCUCCAGCUUCGAUCCCUUGGCAGGAGCACCCAUGGCUGCUGUCACCUCUGUGACUUGCCGAGCUGCUGUCAGAGCCACUGCACCACCAAGCACCACCUGGACAUCCGGCUGCUUGGCCAGAGAAACAGAAAAACAGACCAGUGGUUGAGCAGCCAAGCAAACGCCAAAGAGCCUUGCUGGCCCCGGCCCACCUGCCUGCCUCGCAGCGCAUUUGGCUUGUUCCCUUUGCCCCCCCAUGCAGCCUUUCUUGCUCCUCUCAGUGUUCGUCCUGCUAGAGAGAUCGUGUCUUCGUUCUUCUGCACGCUCGUCACCUUCUCUUUCUCCCCACCAGUCUGUGUCUCCGUCUGGUUCUUCCUUGCAGACCAUGUCCCGUAUUCCCUUUUUCCUCCCCAUUUCAGUGCCUCGUGCCCCAGCCACCCAUUUACUACACCUCACCUAAUCGUUUCACUCCAUGUCUUUGCUGCUGACAGCCAUACCCCUCACCAGGAUCCCCUUCCCCUUCCAGUCCCACCCCCGACACCCUCCUGCCUGCUCCCAGCUGCACCCCUGCCCACCUCCACCCCCAGCCCCACAGCAGCGCCUACCUCUCAGGAGCCUUUCCAGGCCCACGUCGUUCAACCCUCCUAUCUCCGGGCACCGCAGGGAAGCGUGGAGCCACCAGAAAAGCUUUUCCCUCCCGAGAGAGAUCAGCCUGCCCCGGGUCCCCUUCCCAGGACUGCAUUACCAGCCGGAGGGGUGCGGUACUCGAGACGGGUGCCUCCCUCGGGUGGGAGGAAUUGGGGCCCCCGAGCAACGGGGCUGGAAAGUCCUGGGGACCUCCCACUCUCCCCGGAGAGCCCAGCGCAUCCUCUGCCGAGCACGACGCGGCUCGCUCUCUGUUUCUGUUUCCAUCCUUUGCAACACCUUUGUUCACGGCAGAGUUCAAACUGCUGA